rnacentral:lncRNA from 1 species
GUAGACAUUGAAAUUUUGGUGGCAUAAAUGUUAGCGCUUGCAUUAAGAUUACAUUUGUAAACAUUGAAAUUUUAGUGAAAUAAAUGUUGACCAUUGUGUUAAAACUACAACCUCCACCCGAAUUCACCUACAACCUCCACCCAAAUUCACCUACAACAAUCCAUCCAAAUUCACCUACAACCUCCACCCAAAUUCACCUACAACAAUCCAUCCAAAUUCACCUACAACCUCCACCCAAAUUCACCUACAACAAUCCAUCCAAAUUCACCUACAACCUCCCCACCCAAAUUCACCUACAAAAUCCAUCCAAAUUCACCUACAAACCUCCAUCCAAAUUCACCUACAACAAUCCACCCAAAUCCCUACAAUCCAAAAUUCACCUACAACCUCCACCCAAAUUCACCUACCCAAAUUCACCUACAACAUACACCCAAAUUCACCUACAACAAUCCAACCAAAUUCACCUACAACCUCCACCCAAUUCACCUACAACACCUACAACAUCCACCAAAACAAUGGAUGGUGGUGGUUCAUUCCCAAAGCCUAUAAAUAGGCUCCUCCAUCAAAGAAUCAAAGGAGGAUUUUUACACACACUUUCUCUACUCCCAAAUUGGAAGAAAAUUCACACCACACUAAAGACUUGAAGCUUCGAAACUUUGAAGCUCNN